AUUGAACGCUGGUGGCAGGCCUAACACAUGCAAGUCGAACGAGUGGCGGACGGGUGCGUAAUGUCUGGGAAACUGCCUGAUGGAGGGGGCUAACUACUGGAAACGGUAGCUAAUCCCACCUACCAUCAUAUGUGCCCAGAUGGGAUUAGCUAGGUGGUGGGGUAACGGCUCCCCAAGGCGACGAUCCCUAGCUGGUCUGAGAGGAUGACAAGCCACACUGGAACUGAGACACGGUCCAGACUCCGACGGGAGGCAGCAGUGGGGAACAUUGCACAAUGGGCGCAAGCCUGAUGCAGCCAUGCCGCGUGUAUGAAGAAGGCCUUCGGGUUGUAAAGUACUUUCAGCGGGGAGGCGUUACCCGCAGAAGAAGCACCGGCUAACUCCGUGCCAACAGCCGCGGUAAUUC
rnacentral:rRNA from 1 species